CCUGUUGAUUGUUAAAACCUUCAAUUAUGUAAAAUCUGAAAUAACCCAAAAGUAGAGAAAAUAAUACACAUUUUCAUCACAAUUUACACAGUUUCCACAUCAUUGCCAUCCAGGUGCCAACAGCGCUCUAAGCUGUGUGCUGUCCCCCUACCAGCCCACCCCAGGCUAUUUUGAAGCAAAUUCCAAACACCGUGUUGUUUCCCCGGAGCAUAUCUCCGUGCCUGUCUCUAAAAAAGAAGGACUCUUUUCGGUUUUGAAAACAUAACCACAAUGCCACCUUCGCCGUUAAAAAAUUAAGAGCCUUUCCUUAAUGUCAUCCAACAUCUAGUCAGCAUCCAUAUAUCCCCGGUUGACUCAUAAAUUUCUUUUACAGUUGGCUUGUUCAAAUCAGUGUCCAAAUUCUUUUCCUGCACUUUCAUGGGGGCACUGGGAUGAUGGCAGAUGUGAGGACUCUGAGAGGUUGGUGACUUGUCCAAGAUCAGCUAGGAAGCAAGACCCAGGACUGCAAUCCAGGGCUGCUGUGAGGAUCAAACAAGAUAAUGUAUGCUAAGGCGUGCUGUGAACACUACGUGCUGGGUGCAGGAGAAUGGAGGCCCUAGAGUGGGUCUCAUGACACUGUGUUGAUGAAGAUCUUGGCCGUGACCUCUGUGGGAAAUGAGCCAUGGACCAACCAACAUUCAGUCUGAUUUCUUCGUUAUCCGCUGAGGAAGACCUUGGCUGUCCCUUCUGUGGGUAAGGAGCAAAGUGACUCAUAAUUAAGGCACUAUAGUUGAUUAAAUCCUAUCUAAUGAUGACGAUGCUGGCUCUGGGGUUAAGGAGCAGAAAUACCGAGGUGAGUAAUAGUCAAAAUUUAUGUCCUCAGGGGAACUUGCACAAGGGCGUUC